UCCCACUCUCUCUCUAUCUAUCUCCCACCCUCUCUCUCUAUCUAUCUAUCUCCCUCAACCUCAAUCUGAUCCUUUCUUUCGUUUUUAUUUGGACAAAACAAAAACAACUUUCCAGCUCUUGAGAAGGAACGGGGAGGCGGGCACGUUAUGGUUCCGAGCCACCACAACACAAGCAACAGCUGUGAAGCACGAAUUGUGUUGAUAAAUAAUGCAACUGGAACGUGAAACUGCUAGAGUCUGUUCACCUCCCCCUCACCUUCUCGACAAGGAAGGGCCCGGGUCUUGAAGGUUUUGUAGAGUGAAGAUGAUUGUGAAAUUGUUUGGAAGAAAAUGGAACGAUAUAGGAACUUGGACACAAGCCAUUUCCUCAGAUGUCCAGUUUGUUACCCUCUUGAACUGAUUGAAGGAACAACUGCAAUGGAGGAUGGCGCAGAGAAAGGGAAAAUACAGAGAAAAACAACAACAUAAAAACGACAAAGAUGGAUAGGCAGAAUAUUCCUCCACUGUUUGGAAGUUCAGUAGAUAAUCAUUAACAUGGUAAGAGGCUGGAACUUACUUUAAAUGCCUAAUUGCUGGAAUUCUUCCACACAUCAGCAAGUUUGGAGUUUCCACCCUAAGAUGAAAGUCUUGAAUUUGUUGGCUGACUACACUCUGACGGACCGCAUGAAGAGUUUAGGAGUGGAGCUUGGAUUAGCAUACCACCAGUGAUUGUGUACCAAAACAGUGCAAGAACAAUGAGUCCAUUCAUAUCAAUGGAAGAGGAGUGGUUGCAAUGAAAUGAGGCUAUUCAUUAAUUUGUAUUUUUUAAAUAAUUACCUAUAUUUAAAUGCAAAAUUAUUUUGUGUUUCUAAAUGUUUUACUUUUUGAAAACAUUUAUUUAUUUUUCCUAUAUAAGUUUCAUUCAUUUUACAUAAUUUUGUAAAAGUACUUUGAAUGUUAGAGGCAUUUAGAAACAUCUAGUCCUCGAAAUGUUUGAAAAUUGGUUUAGCUGGGUUGCUGGGUUGCAGUGGUUGAGGAUAGUUGGGCAGGAGAUGCGCUGAUAAUAUUUUGUCAGCAUGCCGUUAGGGUUAGCCUGAUUGUUGUCCCCGGUUGACAAUCAGGGAUCAAGGUUCUUCAUUUUAAGGCUGUCGUGGCAUUGUGUAGUUUCUCAAGUUCAAUCUUAGCAUUGGCUUGGGGUGGGAUGUAGACUGCUGUCAGGGGAGCCAACAUGAAUGCCCACGGCAGGUAGUAGGGAUGAGACCUCACUGUAAGAUAUUCCAGUUCUAGGGAGCAGGUGCUCGCCAAGACUGCUACACUUUAGGGGCUGUCCCACUGUACGAGGUAAUUCAAGAGCUCUCCUGAGUUUAAUAUAAAAUCAAACUCAUGGUAAGUACGUAGAAUGUACGUAGCGGCUACG